rnacentral:lncRNA from 1 species
UCUUGUAUGAUAGAUACCACGAGAGCCAAACUCAUGGCGCCUCUGCAAGCGCCGCGGGUUAUUGACUGUAUAUAUAGCUUUUACUUCCCUGGUUUUAGUGCUUCUCUUUAUGCAAUGCAAUGUAAGCCUUGUACUUGUGCAACUGUAAAUACACACACUGCUGGUAUUUGCCAUUACAUAUUAUGAUAUUAUAGUUUAUACUCUCUUCGGUCAAAAAAUUUAGCAUUUUGGACAAGAUUUGGUUAAACUUAUAAAAUUCUGACAAGUAUUUUUGUAUUAAAAUAGAUUUGUAAAAC